UACGUAGGGUGCAAGCGUUAAUCGGAAUUACUGGGCGUAAAGCGUGCGCAGGCGGUUUUGUAAGUCUGACGUGAAAUCCCCGGGCUCAACCUGGGAAUUGCGUUGGAGACUGCAAGGCUAGAAUCUGGCAGAGGGGGGUAGAAUUCCACGUGUAGCAGUGAAAUGCGUAGAUAUGUGGAGGAACACCGGAUGGCGAAGGCAGCCCCCUGGGUCAAGAUUGACGCUCAUGC
rnacentral:rRNA from 1 species